CGGUGGUUCAAAUUCGCCCCAGCUUCGGCUAGGAGCUUAACACAAGCUUCGGAGCCGAGACCGGAUACGAAUAGUAAAGCGGUACGGCCGUAACUGUCGACAGCAUCGACAUCACGUCCAUCAUCAGCGUUGAGAAUUCGGCUGAGAGCAGGCUCGUCGGCUUUUUUAGCUGCGGUCCACCAUGGAGUUUCAUACUCGGCGACCACAUCUUUGGCAAUGUAAUCAAAUGGUACCCAUGAAGGUGCAUGGCCAUCUU
rnacentral:misc_RNA from 1 species